rnacentral:rRNA from 1 species
UACGUAGGGGGCUAGCGUUGUCCGGAAUCAUUGGGCGUAAAGAGCGCGUAGGCGGCCCGGUAAGUCCGCUGUGAAAGUCCAGGGCUCAACCCUGGAAUGCCAGUGGAAACUGUCGGGCUAGAGUACGGAAGAGGCGAGUGGAAUUCCUGGUGUAGCGGUGGAAUGCGCAGAUAUCAGGAGGAACACCGGUGGCGAAGGCGGGUCUCUGGGCAACAACUGACGCUGAGGAGCGAAAGCGUGGGGAGCGAACAGG